rnacentral:rRNA from 1 species
UACGAAGGUGGCAAGCGUUGUUCGGAUUCACUGGGCGUACAGGGUGUGUAGGCGGUCCGCUAAGUCUGAUGUGAAAGCCCGGGGCUCACCCCCGGAAGGGCAUUGGAAACUGGCGGACUCGAGUCCCGGAGAGGAAGGUGGAAUUCCUGGUGUAGCGGUGAAAUGCGUAGAUAUCAGGAGGAAUACCGGUGGCGAAGGCGGCCUUCUGGACGGUGACUGACGCUGAGACGCGAAAGCGUGGGGAGCAAACAGG